GACAGAGGGUGCAAACGUUGUUCGGAAUUACUGGGCGUAAAGCGCGUGUAGGCUGCUCAGAAAGUCGGAUGUGAAAGCCCUGGGCUUAACCUAGGAAGUGCAUUCGAAACUUCUGAGCUUGAGUUCUGGAGAGGAAGGCGGAAUUCUCGGUGUAGAGGUGAAAUUCGUAGAUAUCGAGAGGAACACCGGUGGCGGAGGCGGCCUUCUGGACAGUGACUGACGCUGAGACGCGAAAGCGUGGGGAGCAAACAGG
rnacentral:rRNA from 1 species